AGAGUUUGAUCCUGGCUCAGGACGAACGCUGGCGGCGUGCUUCAUACAUGCAAGUCGAACGAGAAAUUCACUUCGGUGGAUGGAAAGUGGCGGACGGGUGAGUAAUGUGUAGAGAAUCUGCCCUAGAGCGGGGGACAACAGCUGGAAACGGUUGCUAAUACCCCAUAUGAGCGUAUCUGAAAUGGUAUUCUUGAAAACUCCGGUGCUCUAGGAUGAGUCUGCAUCUGAUUAGCUAGUUGGGGGUGUAAUGGACCACCAAGGCGACGAUCAGUAGCUGGUUUGAGAGGAUGAUCAGCCACAAUGGGACUGAGACACGGCCCAUACUCCUACGGGAGGCAGCAGUAGGGAAUAUUGGGCAAUGGGCGAAAGCCUGACGCAGCAACGCCGCGUGAUUGAUAAAGCCCUUCGGGGUGUAAAGAUCUGUCAGUGGGGACGAAACUUGACGGUACCCACAGAGGAAGCACCGGCUAACUCCGUGCCAGCAGCCGCGGUAAUACGGAGGGUGCAAGCGUUGUCCGGAAUCAUUGGGCGUAAAGAGUUCGUAGGUGGUUUGUUAAGUUUGGUGUUAAAUGCAGAGGCUCAACUUCUGUUCGGCAUCGGAUACUGGCAGACUAGAAUGCGGUAGAGGUAAAGGGAAUUCCUGGUGUAGCGGUGAAAUGCGUAGAUAUCAGGAGGAACAUCGGUGGCGUAAGCGCUUUACUGGGCCGUAAUUGACACUGAGGAACGAAAGCCAGGGUAGCAAAUGGGAUUAGAUACCCCAGUAGUCCUGGCCGUAAACGAUGGAUACUAGGUGUUGCGGGUAUCGACCCCUGCAGUGCCGUAGCUAACGCGUUAAGUAUCCCGCCUGGGGAGUACGCACGCAAGUGUGAAACUCAAAGGAAUUGACGGGGACCCGCACAAGCGGUGGAGCAUGU
rnacentral:rRNA from 1 species